GACGAGCCACCCGAACGUUAUUCGGAAUUACUGGGCUUAAAGGGUGCGUAGGCGGUGUAGCAAGUCGGGAGUGAAAUACCCCAGCUUAACUGAGGAAUUGCUUUCGAUACUGCUGCGCUUGGGUGAGACAGAGGUAAGCGGAACUUAGGGUGGAGCGGUGAAAUGCGUUGAUAUCCUAAGGAACACCGGUGGCGAAGGCGGCUUACUGGGUCUCAACUGACGCUGAGGCACGAAAGCUAGGGUAGCAAACGGG
rnacentral:rRNA from 1 species